GAUCCUGGCUCAGGAUGAACGCUAGCGACAGGCCUAACACAUGCAAGUCGAGGGGCAGCGGGGAGGUAGCAAUACCUUUGCCGGCGACCGGCGCACGGGUGAGUAACACGUAUGCAAUCCACCUGUAACAGGGGGAUAACCCGGGGAAAUCCGGACUAAUACCCCAUAAUAUGGGCGCUCCGCAUGGAGAGUCCAUUAAAGAAGAGCAAUCUUGGUUACAGACGAGCAUGCGCUCCAUUAG
rnacentral:rRNA from 1 species